GCUGGGCGUGGUGGCUCACCCCUGUAAUCCCAGCACUUGGGAGGCCGAGGUGUGUGGAUCACCUGAGGUCAGGAGUUCGAGACGAGCCUGGCCAACAUGGUGAAAACUCAUCUCUA
rnacentral:SRP_RNA from 2 species